rnacentral:rRNA from 1 species
UACGAAGGGUGCAAGCGUUACUCGGAAUUACUGGGCGUAAAGCGUGCGUAGGGUGGUUGUUUUAAGUCUGUUGUGAAAGCCCUGGGCUCAACCUGGGAAUUGCAGUGGAUACUGGGCGACUAGAGUGUGGUAGAGGGUAGUGGAAUUCCCGGUGUAGCAGUGAAAUGCGUAGAGAUCGGGAGGAACUCCAUGGCGAAGGCAGCUACCUGGC